AACAGCAAGCGGUGUUCUCUGGUGGACCACCCUCCCAGGUACUGAUCGCACCCGAUUCUGCUUAACUGCGGUGAUCAGGCGAGAACCAGUGCUUCCAGCAUGGUAUGGCCGUU